ensembl:miRNA gga-mir-1611 gga-mir-1611
UACCUACACAGGCAGACUUGCCCUCACCUCGUUGCUGCACAGGUAGAGGAGGGCUUGCAGGCGGUGUGCCUCUGGUUUGGUG